rnacentral:tRNA from 1 species
GCCUAGUUAGCUUAGUUGGUAGCGCGUCUGCCUUGUAAGCUCUAGGUCCCGGGUUCGAUUCCCGCCCGGGGCG